rnacentral:rRNA from 1 species
UUAAAGGAAUUGACGGGGCCCGCACAAGCGGUGGAGCAUGUGGUUUAAUUCGACGCAACGCGAAGAACUUACCAGGGCUUGACAUCCCCUGACCGCGUAUGAAAGUACGUUUUCACCCUCGGGUGACAGGGAGACAGGUGGUGCAUGGUUGUCGUCAGCUCGUGUCGUGAGAUGUUGGGUUAAGUCCCGCAACGAGCGCAACCCCUACGUUUAGUUGCUAACAGGUGAAGCUGAGCACUCUAGACGAACUGCCGUUGAUAAAUCGGAGGAAGGUGGGGACGACGUCAAAUCAUCAUGCCCUUUAUGUCCUGGGCUACACACGUACUACAAUGGCCGUUACAACGGGAAGCGAAGGAGCAAUCCGGAGCAAAUCCCUUAAAGGCGGUCCCAGUUCAGAUUGUGGGCUGAAACUCGCCCACAUGAAGGCGGAAUUGCUAGUAAUUGCAGAUCAGCAUGCUGCAGUGAAUACGUUCCCGGGCCUU